rnacentral:rRNA from 1 species
UACCCUAAGCGGUGGAUCACUCGGAACGUACGUCGAUGAAGAGCGGAG